AGCUACCUUAUGUUUAACUUCACUUCUCUUACCUAACAUUGUCUUAUUUCCAGUCUAACUUGACUCUGUAGCAGAAACAGAUGGCUGAGGAUAUCCUGAAACU